AUGAAAACAGUCUGGAUUGCCGUGGGUAUGGGCAGUGCCAGAUGACCUUCCUUGGAAGAACGGCCAGAGGGUAUCAUCAGCCUUUAUCAUGAGAGCACUAAAACCAGACUCACUGCAGCGUUCUGGACCAUCUAUAACGUUUUCACCACACAAGCUGGAAGGCCUAUGAGGAGGGUGUUGCAGUAGUCAAGGUGUGAGAUAACCACAGUCUACACCAGGAGCUUAGUGGUGUUGAUCAGAUGAGGUGACUGGUGACUGACAACCAUGAGAGCUGAAACAGGUCUGCUGAGAUUCUAUCAGUUUGCAACACAAACACACAGCACCUGCCUGUAAGAACUCUCUUGAAUGUGGAUACUUGGUUUAGGAAAUCUUUACCACAGGUGUGAUGAAAUGUCUUGUAUGCCUUUGACAAUAGUGUUUAUUGUUUUAUAGUACAGUCAUUUCCUGUGUAUUAGUCACAUUAUGUAUACGCCACGGGACAGUGUUUUAUGCAAGUAAAAAGAAACGAAACCAUAUUG